rnacentral:rRNA from 1 species
GAAUUUAGCAGAGAUGCUUUAGUGCCUUCGGGAACUCUGAGACAGGUGCUGCAUGGCUGUCGUCAGCUCGUGUUGUGAAAUGUUGGGUUAAGUCCCGCAACGAGCGCAACCCUUAUCCUUUGUUGCCAGCACGUAAUGGUGGGAACUCAAAGGAGACUGCCGGUGAUAAACCGGAGGAAGGUGGGGAUGACGUCAAGUCAUCAUGGCCCUUACGAGUAGGGCUACACACGUGCUACAAUGGCGCAUACAAAGAGAAGCGACCUCGCGAGAGCAAGCGGACCUCAUAAAGUGCGUCGUAGUCCGGAUUGGAGUCUGCAACUCGACUCCAUGAAGUCGGAAUCGCUAGUAAUCGUAAAUCAGAAUGUUACGGUGAAUACGUUCCCGGGCCUUGUACACACCGCCCGUCACACCAUGGGAGUGGGUUGCAAAAGAAGUAGAUAGCUUAACCUUCGGGAGGGCGCUUACCACUUUGUGAUUCAUGACUGGGGUGAAGUCGUAACAAGGUAGGCGUAGUGCU